AAUAACUUAAAGUCUCGAGCCUUACCUGGAGUUCCCGACGACUUGAGAAGUUCCCAAAGUGUUUCUCUCGAGCACGACCUCGCAGAACUCAGAUUUACAGUGGGUAAAAGUGAAAAAUAAAGGUGAGAACAGCAGUAUUUAUAGGAGAAAACGAUGGGAGGCCAAAGGUCGCUAUCUACGGCCGUCCACGAAGACACGUGUCACAAAUCCAAGCCAUUCUC
rnacentral:lncRNA from 1 species